CAGAGUGAGACCAGUGUCCUAACAGCAAGACUCAUGCUCCAGGAGCUGCUUGGCAGCUUACAUCAGCAAGCAUGACGGGGCUGUGCAGAAGUUCUCUGCAUGUCCUUGGCUGCGGGGUGAAGGAUGGAAACUGCCUGCCUGCUGAGCCUAGUGGCAUAUGCCUACAAUUUCAGCACUCCACAGACUGAGGCAGAAGGAUCAUGAGUUCAAGGCCAGCAUGGGCUACAAAGAAAAUUCCAGACUGGCUGGCCUUCUGGUGCCAGGGAUUUGCCUGUCUCUACCUGCUUUUUUCAUUUGCCCAGCCGCCAGACCGCUCCGCACAACACCAGCUGCUCAAAUUGGCGAAUCCUCUCAGCUAGUCUGGCGCUUCUGGGUGAGGACAAGGACAUCAAGCUUCACGGUAAAGGACACUGCUGCCCUAGAGUGCUCAGUGGAGGGGGAAGGGCAGCUUCCAAGGGCUGCCCAUUGUGCCUCUUCUGGCACAGAUCCAGUACUGCAUUGGCCAUUUCGAAAGCGACAGGGCUCCAGUCUUUGCCACAUGCCAAGCCCAAGGUUGGACCUCCCUUUCAUAAGUAGACUGAGCCGCAGAAGGGAGCCAUCUCUUUGGUGUGUUCCCACAGGACUUGGCCCUAACCAGAAGUCAUGGAGAUGGGACGAUUGUUCCUGAGUCAAUACCUUGAGCUAUAAUUCCCAAGCCUUGUUGGCCACCAAUGCCAGACUUCCCCCAAACUAGGAGACAAUCAAA